AAACAGAAGCUCAGACGUCGUACCCUAGCAUAGUGCAUGUGAGGUUUAACUCAGUGGUGGCUCCACGCCAUGAUGAGUUCUCGACUCCAUCCACGGGUAGCCCUUUCCUACUCGAGCCCUCUCACCCUGCCCAAGUGCUAGGUCGGCUCUGAAUUUCAUAUCAAACAGAUAGAUGGUGAAGUGGGAUUCCAAACAUAAUAUGGUCCAUCCAUUUCUGAAUGACCACCAAACAUAAUCUAGAGC
rnacentral:lncRNA from 1 species